ACAGCUGCAGAAGAUUAUUGCCUCUCUCAGUUCACGUCUGGACGUCGGAAAUGGUAGUAGGGUACAGCUUUCAAGGGUAAGUGUGAGAAGUUGCUCUUUGUGUUAAGCUUUCGAAAGAAGGCGUUUGUUGGCGCUCUGUAUCCGUCUUCAGUGAGGUGAUGCAAAGGACCUGAUUGACAAACAGCUGGUCUACCAAAAUAGGCCUGUAGAUUAAAAAAUGGAUGGACAUUUUUGGAGAGCUGGAAAUGAAUUCCUACAAGUCUCAAAGCUUGCUCUUGCUAACUACCCUUUGACGAGCCCCAAGGCUGGUGAAUAACCUGGUGCUGCUGCCUGCCAAGCUCAUUGUGCUCACUGCUUUCUCACCAACCACAGAGUUCUAGGUACUCCUGUCUUGCCUUUAAAGAAACCCCAUGGAUGGGGAUGGAGAUUUGUACAAGACCUCAGAGCCGUAAGUAAAAUUGUGAUACUGAAGUUUCCAAUGGUACCAAGCCUAAUUACUUUGUUGGCAAAUACACCAACCAAAUCCAGAUGGUUUACAGUUGUGGAUGUAUGCUCUGCUUUCUUCAGCAUCCCAGUGGACAAAGUAAGUCAAUAUUUAUUUGCUUUUACUUGGAGAAAUCAACAGUCUUGUUGGACAAUAGUGCAUCAGGAAUUUACUGAGGCUCCCUUGUACUUUUCACAAAUUUAACAUUAGAAUUUAAAUUCUCUGCUGCAAUUCCUCAGAAAUUCUGCCUUGAUUCAAUAUGUAGAUGAUUUGCUUCCUUGUUACUUCUCUAUGGAGAACUCAGGAAUGGAUUCAACAUAUCUGUUAAAGUGGGGCUUAUAAAGGCUGUAAAGCCUCAAGAUAACAUUCAGUUCUCACAAGAGAUGGUUCAUUUUCUAGGUCAUGACUUCUCUUCAAAAAGAAUCUCUCUUCAGGAAGAAUAAAUGCCAUUCAAAUUAUCCUAGACCUGUAAGGAUUCCUUAGAUUUGUGGGAUAUUGUUAAGUCCUGUGUCUCAUAUGUUUCUUUAUUGGCUUCCCCACUCUAUGACCUAAAAACAGCACUUAGGAAUCUCUCCCUUGGGAAAUAAAACAGGAGGAUACCUUUACUGAACUCAAAUGGGCUUUAUAAAACCCUCCUGCAUUAGAGCUCCCCAGCUAUACUAGACCCUUCAUACUGUUCCUCUGUGAAUGGAACAAUUGGUACAAUUGCACAGGGAAUCCCAAACUUAAUUUCAAGCUACAGAGGGAUUCACUUUACUGAACAACUUAUAAAACAACCAGACAAGGUUAUUCAAACGUAAUGGCACUACCAUGUUCCUACCAUCCUCAAUCUUCAGGAAUGGUUGCAUGCACCAGUGGCAUUCUAAAAUUAAAAUUGAUAAAAUUAACUGAAACCACAGAUUACCUUGGCCUUGAAUGCUACCUUUAUAGCUUAUGUGAUAAUAAGAUCAACACCUUUUGGGAAACAUAAGUUGACACCUUAUGAAAUCAUUACUGGUUGACUGAUGCCCUUAAUGAUAGAAACUCAUGCUCUUGUAAACUCUGAUAUGACCCAAUACUGUAAGGACCUAGUGCUGUAUUAGAAGCCUAUUUCCAACAGGCCAAAGAGGCCUUCAGAGACCCUCCACCUGAUGAGGACUUCAGCCCAAUACACUGGAUGGUAUACCAGUGAUGGUAUUCAGGAAAAGACAGCAACAAAAAACUGCACUGGAACCUUGAUGGAAAGAGCCCCAUCAGGUUCCUUUAACCUCCCAGACAGCAGUCAGAUUACAGAAUGUUGAACCUUGAGUCCAUAUCUUUCAACUAAACAGGUCCCUUAGACUCUUGGACCCACAACUGACUUAACAUUAAGGAUACCGGUAAAAUUUUUUCCCCAGAAGCAAACAAUCAUAGGAUGUAGACAACUUUCCCAGGCCAAUGGAACAAGACCACUGGUGCCAAAAUUAACAUGAUUUUGUUACUGAUAAUUCUAUUAAGACUUUACUAAUGUUUAAUGCAAAUACCUGAAAGUAGACACUGUACCAAAAAAAAAUCAGUGACUAAUCAAAUAGGAAGUUGGAUAUGUACCUAGACUGAUGAAGAAGCUGACGUAUAAACAGAAAACUAUCUGCAGAUGAAACCACCAGUCUUGGUUCUUUUGUUCAUAAGAUAACAGUUCGUAAGAGAAAUCCAGGAAGCACUAGUCCUCUCAAUACACACAAUACUGGAUUCCUUUGUUUGUCAGGACAUUAAUUCUUCAUACUGGCACCUGUAAAGUAGAAAAUGCUUUUUUAUGUAACUCUAAAAACUAUAGGGAAAAAAAGCUUCAGGUGGGUAGGUGUAGCUCAGUGGUAGAGCACAUGCUUAGCAUGUACAAGGUUCAAUCCCCAGUACCUCCAUUAAAAAAAAAUAGGGAAGAGGAUAUAGCUCAGUGGUAGAGCACAUGCUUAACAUGCAUGAGGUCCUGGGUUCAGUCCCCAGUACCUCUGUAAAAAAAUAACUAGAGGAAUCUAUCGUAAAAUACAGAUAUAAUCAGAGAAUGAGGGCGACUUAAGCUACUGACAAUGUGGGGUGUGAACCUUCCCUCAUAGUAAACACAAUACAAGAAAUAAUAAAAAAUAAUACUCUUGUCUCCAAUGAACAAAGGAAGCUAUUAAAAGCUUUGGCUUUUGAGCUAGACACACCUGAGUUUAAUGCCUGGCUUGGGUACCAACUAGGUCUACAAUACUCAACAAGUGAUUUAACAUCUCCAAGCUGCAGUUUUCUAAGGGCUGUAGCAGCACCUCUUACACAGGGCUGUGGUGAGAAUUACACAAGUGUGGAAAAGGUAUUAGCCUAGUUCCUGGUACCUAGAAAAAGCUCGGUAGAUAUUUGUUGACUGAAUGAAUGUAAGCUAGUAAUCUUAAGACCUAAAGCAGGAUAGAGUCACAGGAGGAAGAACUCUCUGUAGGAGGUAAGAAUAUAUGUAAAGCACGAGGAGGAGGGAUACUAAUGGAGGGAAAAUAAAGCAGGGUGGUUAAGACAUGGGCUUUGGAGGCAGUCAGACCUGGAUUCAAAUAUCAGUCCUACCACUUGAGCAAGUCACCUAAUUCAAAACCUUGUAAACAGGAAAAAUUGAAGCAAAAACGGAAAACUUUUUGUUAUUGAAGUAAAAUAUGCAUGACAUAAAAUGUAUCAUUUUAAUCAUUUUUAAAUGUCUAGGUCUGUGUCAUUAAGUAUGUUCAUAUUGUACCACCAUCACUUCCUACCAUCUCCUGGAUACGUGUAUGUGAGUUACAUUGUUGGGGUUUUUUUCCUUUUUAAUUUGGAUUUGGAAAAAAUGAACAGAUAGUAUAGAAAGUUUCAUAUUACUCCCCGCCCCCCACCACACACACAGUUUCACUAUUAACAUUUUACACUAGUGUGGUACAUUUGUUAUAAUCAAUAAACUGAUAUUGAUACAUUAUUAUUACUGAAGCCAUAGAUUAUACAGAUUUUCUUAGUUUUUAACCUAAUGUCUUUGUUCCAGAAUCCCAUCCAAAAUACCACAUUGCAUUUAGUCGUCAUAUCUCCUUAGGCUUCUCUUGACUGUGACAGUUUCAUUCUUUCUGAUGCACAGAUUUGAGGCAUACUGGUCCAGUAUUGUGGGGGUGUUUUGAAUGUAACAUUUCAUGAUUAAAAAAUACUAAUCAAUUGUGAUAACAAUACCUGUUGGGCCUACUUGAAACACACACACACACACACACACACACCUCCAUCCUAUCACUUUUGUGGAAACCAGCAUCCUUUCUGACUCUAAUCACUGUGGAUGUCUCUCUGCCUCAUAUUGGGCCUCUGCUCCCCCAUCUUUUCUCCACACUGCAGCCAGAGAGGCUUUAAAAUAUAAAUCAGCUUCUAUUCUGUUCUCUAGCUGCUUCAGUGGCUUCUUACGGUAUAAACUAAAACACUACAAGAUCCUUCACGCUCUAGCUCCUGGCCACCUCGUCAGUGUCAUGACUUAUUCCUCUCCUCCUGGCUCAGUCUGCUCUGUCACACUGGCUUCCUUACAGACCCUGAAACACACCACGCCCCUGCCCUAGAGCCUUUGCACCUGUCCUCUGCCUGGAAAGUUCAUUCUCCAUGUAGCCAUGUUGGCCCACUCCUUCACUCCUUUCAAGUCUCUGCUCAGAUGUCACUUCCUAAAGAGAGGCCCCUAUCUUGCAUAGCAGCCUACCCCCUAAAGAGAGUUGUCCCCCUAAAGAAAGUUGUCCUCUUUCUCCUUAGCUUUGUUUUAACCCAGAAUAUUUAUCACUACCUGACAUUACAUCCUAUAUCUUAAUAUGUUUAUUGUCUGUUUCUUCCUUUAGAAGACAAGUUUCAUGAGGCCAAACACUUUAAUUUGUUAAUACUCAAUAACAUUGGUUAAAUUAAUUAGUGAAUAAAAGACUUUUAUUUUUAACAAGCAAGUUGGAUGUUAGGUAAGGUGGUUCACAGUCUGGGACUCCUGAACUCCUAGAUAUCUUUGAAGGUAGCAAUUUCCUGAAUUUUUAAAGAUCUGGCCAGGCUACAGGUUCUUAAAAAUGGGUAGUAUGAUUCAUAAAUGGAUAUAUCUCCAGAAUCUGGGAUAAUUCCUCAAAUACAUGGAGCACUCAGUAGAGAUAUCUGCAUUUUAAUUAACUAGAAUGGAAUUGGCAAUGUGGCAAAGUGUGGUGGCAGCUUAUCUGAAAGGCAGAGGAAUACUGAGAAAGAUUAUGUAUAACGAUGAUAAUCACAAAUGAAUAUCAUAUAAUGUCUGUUAAUAACUAGUGUUAUGGACCGAAUUGUGUCUCCACCCUUCCACUCCCUGCCCCCACCCCCAUGUAGCCCCCAAACCCAUUGUGACUGUAUUUGGAGACAUGGCCUCUAAGGAAGUCAUUAAGCUUAAAUGAGGUCAUAAUAGUAGGGCUCUAAUCUAAUAGGGUUGGUGUCCUUCCAAGAAGAGAAAGAGACUAUGCACAGAGAAAUGCCACGUAAGUACACAGUGAGAAGGCAAGCCAGAAAGAGAGGUCUCUCCAGAAACCAACCCCACCAGCAGGUUGAUCUUGGACUCCCAGCCUUCAGAACUGUGAACAAAUAAAUUUCUGUGGUUUAAGCCACCCAGUCUGAUUUCAGUCACCAUAAGCAGUAUCAUCUUAGAAUGUGAAAGACAAUGAGGAAGAUAAACACACACUCCUGUGUUUUAAACAUGGCUUCAGAUUCAUUGUUUUGUGUAUUAUAUGGAAAAAAAUCUAUGAAAUAAAAUUGUAUUUCAGUUUUAAAUAAUAGAUUGGUUCUCUUUUAUUCAAAUAAUGCUCAUAAUUUAAAAGUCCUGGAAAAAAUAAAUUCACAAUCAAAUCACAAUCAAAUUUUACAUGUGAAACCGUGGUAAUUUUGGUAGAUUUUUUUUAAGUGUUAUGGAACUGUAAAGGACUUAGUUUGCAGAAUUUUCAAUGAAAAUGAUACUUUGGCCAAACCAAGAUGACUCCCCACAGUAAUAACCUACAUACAGCCAUAUUCAGUGACUAAAUUGUGUUUAUGAUUUUCUCAAACAAUGGAGUUCAUUUUGACUAUUUAUCUAAACAAAAUGUGAUAAACAGAGCAAUAAGAAAGAAAAAUGUAACCCUGGAAUGCAUUUGCAGCCAAUGCAUAGAGCUGUGGCCUUAGCUUUCCGAAGAGCAUUUAAACACUGCCAUACACCGUCCAUCUGUGUGUCCUGCAGUGGAGUGACUACACGGUUCUGCCUUGAUCUCAGUGGAAGUCUGAGUCACAGGCACUAACAGUCACAAGAUUGUUAAUUCUUCAGAAGCACCAAAUAGACUUCAAAAAGGAAGGAUAAAAAUCUUAAGACUCUAGUAGUGUAUCCUAACUAAAAUUCCAUGAAGCACAUGAUUGUAGUUGUGACAAAGCAGUCUUUAUGAGCACAUGUUUACUGUUAAAAAAGUAGAAGCCCUGCCAGAAAGCCUUUAUAUAUGAUUUAUUAAAUUUAUUAAUGUUUGAACUUCUUAUUUUACACAUUUCAUAACAUUAUCAGUGCUAAUUUUAUGUGAUGCUACAUAGGACCAGGUUCUUUAAAAGAAUUGAUUCAAAUUAAAGUAUAUCUACCUCUUCUAAAAACAGUGUAGCAUCCAAAUGCCUGCAAUGUACUUUGAGGUAGGAAUCAUGUUUAAUUUAAUUUUGUUUUUCCUGUAACUG